AGGAAGGCCUUANGGUUGUAAAGCUCUUUCACCCACGACGAUGAAGACGGUAGUGGGAGAAGAAGCCCCGGCUAACUUCGUGCCAGCAGCCGCGGUAAUACGAAGGGGGCGAGCGUUGAUCGGAUUUACUGGGCGUAAAGGGCGCGCAGGCGGCAGACCAAGCCAGGCGUGAAAGCCCCGGCUUAACCUGGGAGGUGCGUCUGGGACUGGUCAGCUAGAGUUCGGGAGAGGAGAGUGGAAUUCCCAGUGUAGAGGUGAAAUUCGUAAGAUAUCGGGAAGAACACCGGUGGCGAAGGCGGCUCUCUGGACCGAGACUGACCUGAAGGCGCGAAGCGUGGGGGAGCAAACAGGAAUAAGAUACCCUGGUAAUCCACGCUUGUAAACG
rnacentral:rRNA from 1 species